rnacentral:rRNA from 1 species
GGUUAAGCGACUAAGCGUACACGGUGGAUGCCCUGGCAGUCAGAGGCGAUGAAGGACGUGCUAAUCUGCGAUAAGCGUCGGUAAGGUGAUAUGAACCGUUAUAACCGGCGAUUUCCGAAUGGGGAAACCCAGUGUGUUUCGACACACUAUCAUUAACUGAAUCCAUAGGUUAAUGAGGCGAACCGGGGGAACUGAAACAUCUAAGUACCCCGAGGAAAAGAAAUCAACCGAGAUUCCCCCAGUAGCGGCGAGCGAACGGGGAGCAGCCCAGAGCCUGAAUCAGUGUGUGUGUUAGUGGAAGCGUCUGGAAAGGCGCGCGAUACAGGGUGACAGCCCCGUACACAAAAAUGCACAUACUGUGAGCUCGAUGAGUAGGGCGGGACACGUGGUAUCCUGUCUGAAUAUGGGGGGACCAUCCUCCAAGGCUAAAUACUCCUGACUGACCGAUAGUGAACCAGUACCGUGAGGGAAAGGCGAAAAGAACCCCGGCGAGGGGAGUGAAAAAGAACCUGAAACCGUGUACGUACAAGCAGUGGGAGCACGCUUCGGCGUGUGACUGCGUACCUUUUGUAUAAUGGGUCAGCGACUUAUAUUCUGUAGCAAGGUUAACCGAAUAGGGGAGCCGAAGGGAAACCGAGUCUUAACUGGGCGUUAAGUUGCAGGGUAUAGACCCGAAACCCGGUGAUCUAGCCAUGGGCAGGUUGAAGGUUGGGUAACACUAACUGGAGGACCGAACCGACUAAUGUUGAAAAAUUAGCGGAUGACUUGUGGCUGGGGGUGAAAGGCCAAUCAAACCGGGAGAUAGCUGGUUCUCCCCGAAAGCUAUUUAGGUAGCGCCUCGUGAAUUCAUCUCCGGGGGUAGAGCACUGUUUCGGCAAGGGGGUCAUCCCGACUUACCAACCCGAUGCAAACUGCGAAUACCGGAGAAUGUUAUCACGGGAGACACACGGCGGGUGCUAACGUCCGUCGUGAAGAGGGAAACAACCCAGACCGCCAGCUAAGGUCCCAAAGUCAUGGUUAAGUGGGAAACGAUGUGGGAAGGCCCAGACAGCCAGGAUGUUGGCUUAGAAGCAGCCAUCAUUUAAAGAAAGCGUAAUAGCUCACUGGUCGAGUCGGCCUGCGCGGAAGAUGUAACGGGGCUAAACCAUGCACCGAAGCUGCGGCAGCGACACUAUGUGUUGUUGGGUAGGGGAGCGUUCUGUAAGCCUGUGAAGGUGUACUGUGAGGUAUGCUGGAGGUAUCAGAAGUGCGAAUGCUGACAUAAGUAACGAUAAAGCGGGUGAAAAGCCCGCUCGCCGGAAGACCAAGGGUUCCUGUCCAACGUUAAUCGGGGCAGGGUGAGUCGACCCCUAAGGCGAGGCCGAAAGGCGUAGUCGAUGGGAAACAGGUUAAUAUUCCUGUACUUGGUGUUACUGCGAAGGGGGGGACGGAGAAGGCUAUGUUGGCCGGGCGACGGUUGUCCCGGUUUAAGCGUGUAGGCUGGUUUUCCAGGCAAAUCCGGAAAAUCAAGGCUGAGGCGUGAUGACGAGGCACUACGGUGCUGAAGCAACAAAUGCCCUGCUUCCAGGAAAAGCCUCUAAGCAUCAGGUAACAUUAAAUCGUACCCCAAACCGACACAGGUGGUCAGGUAGAGAAUACCAAGGCGCUUGAGAGAACUCGGGUGAAGGAACUAGGCAAAAUGGUGCCGUAACUUCGGGAGAAGGCACGCUGAUAUGUAGGUGAAGUCCCUCGCGGAUGGAGCUGAAAUCAGUCGAAGAUACCAGCUGGCUGCAACUGUUUAUUAAAAACACAGCACUGUGCAAACACGAAAGUGGACGUAUACGGUGUGACGCCUGCCCGGUGCCGGAAGGUUAAUUGAUGGGGUUAGCGGUAACGCGAAGCUCUUGAUCGAAGCCCCGGUAAACGGCGGCCGUAACUAUAACGGUCCUAAGGUAGCGAAAUUCCUUGUCGGGUAAGUUCCGACCUGCACGAAUGGCGUAAUGAUGGCCAGGCUGUCUCCACCCGAGACUCAGUGAAAUUGAACUCGCUGUGAAGAUGCAGUGUACCCGCGGCAAGACGGAAAGACCCCGUGAACCUUUACUAUAGCUUGACACUGAACAUUGAGCCUUGAUGUGUAGGAUAGGUGGGAGGCUUUGAAGUGUGGACGCCAGUCUGCAUGGAGCCGACCUUGAAAUACCACCCUUUAAUGUUUGAUGUUCUAACGUUGACCCGUGAUCCGGGUUGCGGACAGUGUCUGGUGGGUAGUUUGACUGGGGCGGUCUCCUCCUAAAGAGUAACGGAGGAGCACGAAGGUUGGCUAAUCCUGGUCGGACAUCAGGAGGUUAGUGCAAUGGCAUAAGCCAGCUUGACUGCGAGCGUGACGGCGCGAGCAGGUGCGAAAGCAGGUCAUAGUGAUCCGGUGGUUCUGAAUGGAAGGGCCAUCGCUCAACGGAUAAAAGGUACUCCGGGGAUAACAGGCUGAUACCGCCCAAGAGUUCAUAUCGACGGCGGUGUUUGGCACCUCGAUGUCGGCUCAUCACAUCCUGGGGCUGAAGUAGGUCCCAAGGGUAUGGCUGUUCGCCAUUUAAAGUGGUACGCGAGCUGGGUUUAGAACGUCGUGAGACAGUUCGGUCCCUAUCUGCCGUGGGCGCUGGAGAACUGAGGGGGGCUGCUCCUAGUACGAGAGGACCGGAGUGGACGCAUCACUGGUGUUCGGGUUGUCAUGCCAAUGGCACUGCCCGGUAGCUAAAUGCGGAAGAGAUAAGUGCUGAAAGCAUCUAAGCACGAAACUUGCCCCGAGAUGAGUUCUCCCUGACUCCUUGAGAGUCCUGAAGGAACGUUGAAGACGACGACGUUGAUAGGCCGGGUGUGUAAGCGCAGCGAUGCGUUGAGCUAACCGGUACUAAUGAACCGUGAGGCUUAACCUU